UGAAUCCUCGAGGCAUUGAUGGGAGCAUAGCCCAAGGCUCAAUUAUAUAGAAACUGACAUAGAUUUGGGUGGUGACAGUAUCUUGCAAGGACCGUGAUUUCUGCAUUGUUGGAAAGAGAUGCGCUUACACGUCAGUGUAGGUUUGAAACUUCUUAAUCGAUUGAAGUCAUGUUUAAUGAUUUCUGCGUUGUUGGAAAGAGAUGCGCUUACACGUCAGUGUAGGUUUGAAACUUCUUAAUCGAUUGAAGUCAUGUUUAUGUUAAGUUAUAUUACAACUUUUUGCUCUAUUUUGG
rnacentral:lncRNA from 1 species